UUAAGCGACUAAGCGUACACGGUGGAUGCCCUGGCAGUCAGAGGCGAUGAAGGACGUGCUAAUCUGCGAUAAGCGUCGGUAAGGUGAUAUGAACCGUUAUAACCGGCGAUUUCCGAAUGGGGAAACCCAGUGUGAUUCGUCACACUAUCAUUAACUGAAUCCAUAGGUUAAUGAGGCGAACCGGGGGAACUGAAACAUCUAAGUACCCCGAGGAAAAGAAAUCAACCGAGAUUCCCCCAGUAGCGGCGAGCGAACGGGGAGCAGCCCAGAGCCUGAAUCAGUGUGUGUGUUAGUGGAAGCGUCUGGAAAGGCGUGCGAUACAGGGUGACAGCCCCGUACACAAAAAUGCACAUACUGUGAGCUCGAUGAGUAGGGCGGGACACGUGGUAUCCUGUCUGAAUAUGGGGGGACCAUCCUCCAAGGCUAAAUACUCCUGACUGACCGAUAGUGAACCAGUACCGUGAGGGAAAGGCGAAAAGAACCCCGGCGAGGGGAGUGAAAAAGAACCUGAAACCGUGUACGUACAAGCAGUGGGAGCACGCUUAGGCGUGUGACUGCGUACCUUUUGUAUAAUGGGUCAGCGACUUAUAUUCUGUAGCAAGGUUAACCGAAUAGGGGAGCCGAAGGGAAACCGAGUCUUAACUGGGCGUUAAGUUGCAGGGUAUAGACCCGAAACCCGGUGAUCUAGCCAUGGGCAGGUUGAAGGUUGGGUAACACUAACUGGAGGACCGAACCGACUAAUGUUGAAAAAUUAGCGGAUGACUUGUGGCUGGGGGUGAAAGGCCAAUCAAACCGGGAGAUAGCUGGUUCUCCCCGAAAGCUAUUUAGGUAGCGCCUCGUGAAUUCAUCUCCGGGGGUAGAGCACUGUUUCGGCAAGGGGGUCAUCCCGACUUACCAACCCGAUGCAAACUGCGAAUACCGGAGAAUGUUAUCACGGGAGACACACGGCGGGUGCUAACGUCCGUCGUGAAGAGGGAAACAACCCAGACCGCCAGCUAAGGUCCCAAAGUCAUGGUUAAGUGGGAAACGAUGUGGGAAGGCCCAGACAGCCAGGAUGUUGGCUUAGAAGCAGCCAUCAUUUAAAGAAAGCGUAAUAGCUCACUGGUCGAGUCGGCCUGCGCGGAAGAUGUAACGGGGCUAAACCAUGCACCGAAGCUGCGGCAGCGACGCUUAUGCGUUGUUGGGUAGGGGAGCGUUCUGUAAGCCUGCGAAGGUAUGCUGUGAGGCAUGCUGGAGGUAUCAGAAGUGCGAAUGCUGACAUAAGUAACGAUAAAGCGGGUGAAAAGCCCGCUCGCCGGAAGACCAAGGGUUCCUGUCCAACGUUAAUCGGGGCAGGGUGAGUCGACCCCUAAGGCGAGGCCGAAAGGCGUAGUCGAUGGGAAACAGGUUAAUAUUCCUGUACUUGGUGUUACUGCGAAGGGGGGACGGAGAAGGCUAUGUUGGCCGGGCGACGGUUGUCCCGGUUUAAGCGUGUAGGCUGGUUUUCCAGGCAAAUCCGGAAAAUCAAGGCUGAGGCGUGAUGACGAGGCACUACGGUGCUGAAGCAACAAAUGCCCUGCUUCCAGGAAAAGCCUCUAAGCAUCAGGUAACAUCAAAUCGUACCCCAAACCGACACAGGUGGUCAGGUAGAGAAUACCAAGGCGCUUGAGAGAACUCGGGUGAAGGAACUAGGCAAAAUGGUGCCGUAACUUCGGGAGAAGGCACGCUGAUAUGUAGGUGAAGUCCCUCGCGGAUGGAGCUGAAAUCAGUCGAAGAUACCAGCUGGCUGCAACUGUUUAUUAAAAACACAGCACUGUGCAAACACGAAAGUGGACGUAUACGGUGUGACGCCUGCCCGGUGCCGGAAGGUUAAUUGAUGGGGUCAGCGCAAGCGAAGCUCUUGAUCGAAGCCCCGGUAAACGGCGGCCGUAACUAUAACGGUCCUAAGGUAGCGAAAUUCCUUGUCGGGUAAGUUCCGACCUGCACGAAUGGCGUAAUGAUGGCCAGGCUGUCUCCACCCGAGACUCAGUGAAAUUGAACUCGCUGUGAAGAUGCAGUGUACCCGCGGCAAGACGGAAAGACCCCGUGAACCUUUACUAUAGCUUGACACUGAACAUUGAGCCUUGAUGUGUAGGAUAGGUGGGAGGCUUUGAAGUGUGGACGCCAGUCUGCAUGGAGCCGACCUUGAAAUACCACCCUUUAAUGUUUGAUGUUCUAACGUUGACCCGUAAUCCGGGUUGCGGACAGUGUCUGGUGGGUAGUUUGACUGGGGCGGUCUCCUCCUAAAGAGUAACGGAGGAGCACGAAGGUUGGCUAAUCCUGGUCGGACAUCAGGAGGUUAGUGCAAUGGCAUAAGCCAGCUUGACUGCGAGCGUGACGGCGCGAGCAGGUGCGAAAGCAGGUCAUAGUGAUCCGGUGGUUCUGAAUGGAAGGGCCAUCGCUCAACGGAUAAAAGGUACUCCGGGGAUAACAGGCUGAUACCGCCCAAGAGUUCAUAUCGACGGCGGUGUUUGGCACCUCGAUGUCGGCUCAUCACAUCCUGGGGCUGAAGUAGGUCCCAAGGGUAUGGCUGUUCGCCAUUUAAAGUGGUACGCGAGCUGGGUUUAGAACGUCGUGAGACAGUUCGGUCCCUAUCUGCCGUGGGCGCUGGAGAACUGAGGGGGGCUGCUCCUAGUACGAGAGGACCGGAGUGGACGCAUCACUGGUGUUCGGGUUGUCAUGCCAAUGGCACUGCCCGGUAGCUAAAUGCGGAAGAGAUAAGUGCUGAAAGCAUCUAAGCACGAAACUUGCCCCGAGAUGAGUUCUCCCUGACUCCUUGAGAGUCCUGAAGGAACGUUGAAGACGACGACGUUGAUAGGCCGGGUGUGUAAGCGCAGCGAUGCGUUGAGCUAACCGGUACUAAUGAACCGUGAGGCUUAACCUU
rnacentral:rRNA from 1 species